rnacentral:lncRNA from 1 species
GGGGCUGGUGAUCAGGGAUCCAGUCUGUCUCCUCCUGGGGGCUGGUGAUCAGGGAUCCAGUCUGUCUCCUCCUGGGGGCUGGUGAUCAGGGUUCUGCAGUGUUUAGUUUACAAAAUAAGAGGUCAUUUAUCUCAUGUUGUUCUGCUGGUUGCUAGUAUCAUAUUCAUAUAAAACUCACAUGGAGACAUAAAUAGACUAUAAGGAAAGGAGAGCAUAUAAGCAAGGAUGAACUUUUUUAUUAAAAAUUGGAUUUUGUAUUUGGAUUAACCAGAAAUACUUGCUUCUAAUAUACACACACUCACCCUUUUAGAGCUCCAUGUGUGCGCUUUUGUGCUGUAACAUAUUGGCAGAUAGCAGCAAUGCUGAGGGAGCUGCUGUUGAUCUUCAGAGUCUAGUAGGCACAGGAGGCACUUAUCUCCAGUAGUGCUCAUUCACACUUUCAGGCCCACAGAGACCUCAAGUCUGACAGGUCAGAAACAAAAAAGCACGAUCGAGUCAGUUUGAAGUUUCAAGUUUCAGCAAUUGGGAACAGAUUAAAUCGUUUCACAACAAGCAAGAGCAUAAUCCUUCCUAUGUUCUUCUCAUUCCACAGCAGGCCGAUGAGGUCCUCCGUUCUAAACUGGACAAGUGAAAUGAGCCAAGGUCCUGUCCAGAAGGCCAUUUCUAGUGAGCGGCUUCAGUUGGUCUGUCUGCACAGAGGUGGCCGACGAAUCUGUGGUCAACUCUAGCCACACCCAGGCUGGAAACUGAACAUGUU